rnacentral:rRNA from 1 species
CGGGGGGGGCAAGCGUUGUUCGGAAUUACUGGGCGUAAAGGGCUCGUAGGCGGCCAACUAAGUCAGACGUGAAAUCCCUCGGCUUAACCGGGGAACUGCGUCUGAUGCCGGAUGGCUUGAGUUUGGGAGAGGGAUGCGGAAUUCCAGGUGUAGCGGUGAAAUGCGUAGAUAUCUGGAGGAACACCGGUGGCGAAGGCGGCAUCCUGGACCAACACUGACGCUGAGUGAGCGAAAGCCAGGGGAGCAAACGGGAUUAGAUACCCCGGUAGUCCUGGCCCUAAACGAUGAAUGCUUGGUGUGGCGGGUAUCGAUCCCUGCCGUGCCGAAGCUAACGCAUUAAGCAUUCCGCCUGGGGAGUACGGUCGCAAGGCUG